GCUUAGAGAGGGGUCAAUGUCCUAUCAGCUAGUUGGCAGGGUAAUGGCCUACCAAGGCUAAGACGGGUAGCCGGCCUGAGAGGGUGGUCGGCCACACUGGGACUGAGACACUGCCCAGACUCCUACGGGAGGCUGCAGUCGAGAAUCUUUCGCAAUGCCCGAAAGGGUGACGAAGCGACGCCGCGUGUGGGAAGAAGGCCUUCGGGUUGUAAACCACUGUCGGGAGUUAAGAAAUGUAAGGAUGUUAAUAGCAUCCUUGCUUGACUAAGGCUCCGGAGGAAGCCACGGCUAACUCUGUGCCAGCAGCCGCGGUAAUACAGAGGCGGCAAGCGUUGUUCGGAAUUAUUGGGCGUAAAGAGCACGUAGGCGGCUUUGUAAGUCAGUUGUGAAAGCCUUCUGCUUAACGGAAGAACAGCAUCUGAUACUGCAAGGCUAGAGUACGGAAGGG
rnacentral:rRNA from 1 species